rnacentral:rRNA from 1 species
GAAGCGAACGCGGUGAACUGAAACAUCUAAGUAACCGCAGGAAAAGAAAUCAACCGAGAUUCCCAAAGUAGUGGCGAGCGAAAUGGGAUGAGCCUUGCACUCUUUAUUUGUAUUGUUAGCCGAACGCUCUGGAAAGUGCGGCCAUAGCAGGUGAUAGCCCUGUAGGCGAAAACAGUAUGAAAGAACUAGGUGUGCGACAAGUAGGGCGGGACACGUGAAAUCCUGUCUGAAGAUGGGGGGACCAUCCUCCAAGGCUAAAUACUCGUGAUCGACCGAUAGUGAACCAGUACCGUGAGGGAAAGGCGAAAAGAACCCCGGGAGGGGAGUGAAAUAGAUCCUGAAACCGCAUGCAUACAAACAGUCGGAGCCUCGCAAGGGGUGACGGCGUACCUUUUGUAUAAUGGGUCAGCGACUUACGUUCAGUAGCAAGCUUAACCGUAUAGGGCAGGCGUAGCGAAAGCGAGUCCGAAUAGGGCGUUCAGUUGCUGGGCGUAGACCCGAAACCAGGUGAUCUAUCCAUGGCCAGGAUGAAGGUGCGGUAACACGUACUGGAGGUCCGAACCCACUAACGUUGAAAAGUUAGGGGAUGAGCUGUGGAUAGGGGUGAAAGGCUAAACAAACCUGGAAAUAGCUGGUUCUCUCCGAAAACUAUUUAGGUAGUGCCUCGUGUCUCACCUUCGGGGGUAGAGCACUGUCAUGGUUGGGGGGUCUAUUGCAGAUUACCCCGCCAUAGCAAACUCCGAAUACCGAAGAGUGCAAUCACGGGAGACAGACAUCGGGUGCUAACGUCCGGUGUCAAGAGGGAAACAACCCAGACCGCCAGCUAAGGUCCCCAAAUAUAGCUAAGUGGGAAACGAAGUGGGAAGGCUAAAACAGUCAGGAGGUUGGCUUAGAAGCAGCCACCCUUUAAAGAAAGCGUAAUAGCUCACUGAUCGAGUCGUCCUGCGCGGAAGAUGUAACGGGGCUAAGCUAUAUACCGAAGCUGCGGAUGCGUGCUUGCACGCAUGGUAGGAGAGCGUUCCGUAAGCCUGCGAAGGUGCCUUGUAAAGGGUGCUGGAGGUAUCGGAAGUGCGAAUGCUGACAUGAGUAGCGAUAAAGGGGGUGAAAGGCCCCCUCGCCGUAAGCCCAAGGUUUCCUACGCAACGUUCAUCGGCGUAGGGUGAGUCGGCCCCUAAGGCGAGGCAGAAAUGCGUAGCUGAUGGGAAGCAGGUCAAUAUUCCUGCACCGUCGUUAGAUGCGAUGGGGGGACGGAUCGCGGAAGGUUGUCCGGGUGUUGGAAGUCCCGGUCGCUGCAUUGGAGAAGGCGCUUAGGCAAAUCCGGGCGCAGGAUUCAAGGGUGUGGCGCGAGCUCCCUCGGGAGCGAAGCAAUUGGAAGUGGUUCCAAGAAAAGCCUCUAAGCUUCAGUCUAACGAUGACCGUACCGCAAACCGACACAGGUGGGCGAGAUGAGUAUUCUAAGGCGCUUGAGAGAACUCGGGAGAAGGAACUCGGCAAAUUGGUACCGUAACUUCGGGAUAAGGUACGCCCUUGUAGCUUGACUGGCCUGCGCCAGGAGGGUGAAGGGGUUGCAAUAAACUGGUGGCUGCGACUGUUUAAUAAAAACACAGCACUCUGCAAACACGAAAGUGGACGUAUAGGGUGUGACGCCUGCCCGGUGCCGGAAGAUUAAAUGAUGGGGUGCAAGCUCUUGAUUGAAGUCCCGGUAAACGGCGGCCGUAACUAUAACGGUCCUAAGGUAGCGAAAUUCCUUGUCGGGUAAGUUCCGACCUGCACGAAUGGCGUAACGAUGGCCACACUGUCUCCUCCCGAGACUCAGCGAAGUUGAAGUGUUUGUGAUGAUGCAAUCUACCCGCGGCUAGACGGAAAGACCCCAUGAACCUUUACUGUAGCUUUGCAUUGGACUUUGAACCGAUCUGUGUAGGAUAGGUGGGAGGCUAUGAAACCGGAACGCUAGUUUCGGUGGAGCCGUCCUUGAAAUACCACCCUGGUUUGUUUGAGGUUCUAACCUUGGCCCGUGAUCCGGGUCGGGGACAGUGCAUGGUAGGCAGUUUGACUGGGGCGGUCUCCUCCCAAAGCGUAACGGAGGAGUACGAAGGUACGCUAGGUACGGUCGGAAAUCGUGCUGAUAGUGCAAUGGCAUAAGCGUGCUUAACUGCGAGACCGACAAGUCGAGCAGGUGCGAAAGCAGGUCAUAGUGAUCCGGUGGUUCUGUAUGGAAGGGCCAUCGCUCAACGGAUAAAAGGUACUCUGGGGAUAACAGGCUGAUACCGCCCAAGAGUUCAUAUCGACGGCGGUGUUUGGCACCUCGAUGUCGGCUCAUCUCAUCCUGGGGCUGUAGCCGGUCCCAAGGGUAUGGCUGUUCGCCAUUUAAAGAGGUACGUGAGCUGGGUUUAAAACGUCGUGAGACAGUUUGGUCCCUAUCUGCCGUGGGCGUUGGAUAUUUGAAGGGGGCUGCUCCUAGUACGAGAGGACCGGAGUGGACGAACCUCUGGUGUACCGGUUGUCACGCCAGUGGCAUCGCCGGGUAGCUAUGUUCGGAAGAGAUAACCGCUGAAAGCAUCUAAGCGGGAAACUCGCCUUAAGAUGAGAUAUCCCUGGGGACUAGAUCCCCUUGAAGGGUCGUUCGAGACCAGGACGUUGAUAGGUCGGGUGUGUAAGCGCAGUAAUGCGUUCAGCUAACCGAUACUAAUUGCCCGUAAGGCUUGAUCCUAUAACA